CCUACGGGAGACAGCAGUGGGGAAUAUUGGGCAAUGGGCGCAAGCCUGACCCAGCAACGCCGCGUGAAGGAAGAAGGCUUUCGGGUUGUAAACUUCUUUUAAGAGGGAAGAGCAGAAGACGGUACCUCUUGAAUAAGCCACGGCUAACUACGUGCCAGCAGCCGCGGUAAUACGUAGGUGGCAAGCGUUGUCCGGAUUUACUGGGUGUAAAGGGCGUGUAGCCGGGCUGACAAGUCAGAUGUGAAAUCCCGUGGCUCAACCACGGAACUGCAUUUGAAACUGGCGGUCUUGAGUAUCGGAGAGGCAGGCAGAAUUCCUAGUGUAGCGGUGAAAUGCGUAGAGAUUAGGAGGAACACCAGUGGCGAAGGCGGCCUGCUGGACGAAAACUGACGGUGAGGCGCGAAAGCGUGGGGAGCAAACAGGAUUAGAUACCCUAGUAGUC
rnacentral:rRNA from 1 species